AUGCAGUACACGCCGCAGCGCCUCUUCGCCGACGCGUACUCCUUCCCGUCCACUUCCACUUCUACGGAUGCUGCCGCAGCCGACCAAUGUUUCCCUGGCGAGCUAAUCUCUGCUGUCGACAUCUACCAGAAGGCGAAGGGCGCGCCCCGGCCCCUCUUCUCUCGGUUGGUAGAGACCUCCACGUCGUCCUCGUGGUUCCUGACAUCGCCCUUCCGCGUGGACGCCGUCGAGUGCAAGAACCCGGUGCCGGUGCGGGCGGCCUCGUUCUCUCCGGCGGAGCUUGAGCUAAGCUGGAUCGUCGUCGACCCCCAGAGCGGCCGGGCGGUAAACGUGUCGAGCCGACGGGCAGUGGCCAUGGACAGGCACUGGUACCUCCCCGAGCUAUCCCUCCGCUUCAGCGGCGGCGCCGAGAUGUGGCUCCCGAUCGAGAACUACUUCCUGGUGGCGGGCAUGGUCCAGGGGCUGAUUGAUUUUUUUUUAAAUCUACUAGGGGUCUGUGUGUGA
rnacentral:rRNA from 1 species